UUCCCGACGCUUCGCGUCGCCUCCUCCGCCUCCCCCGGUGCGACCUUGGCACGGCGCGACUGCUUUCCCCUCCUCUCUUCCUCUCUCUCUCUCUCUCCCUCUCCCUCUCCCUCCCUAAGUGGCGGCGCUGCGGCCGGCCCUGAGCACAGCGGCCUCUGCCCGUGGGCCCCAGCAGCGACCGACACCACCCUGCCAUGGCGCGUCGCCCCUCUCCACGCCUCCAUGGCUCCACCACCGCCGCCGCGCCUCUCGACAUGCCCCUGCCAGCCCCCGCCGCAGCGACAACGCCGGCUUAGGGUUUUGCCACUCCGUCGUCGGCCGUCUCCGGAUGGGUGGGUGACACACUGGCGCGGCGGGUCCUCUGCUACAUCGCCUCUCCACGACUGCGGCCAGGCAGGGCGAUGGCGCCACCGGAUCCCCGGCGGCCGGCACAACCGGCGCGGGCCGACCGCGUUGAUGCCCGCCCCCGCAGCUGCCCCUCUCGCAGUCACCUCUGCAGGCUGGAGCCACCCUGGUUUGCUCACCCCUCACCUCCCCCCCGGUGCAGCAGCCCUAGCACGGGCUGCCGGCUGCCUCGGGCCCCUGCGUGGCCCUCCCGUCCGUCUCAUCUCUAUUGGUUCCAUUGCAGUCUCCUCUCUAUCUCUCUUCUGAUCUGCGCUAGAGCUUGUCAGAUUGAUGGCACUUGCUUGCCCCUGCUUUCUAUCCCAUCGCCUCUAUUUAUUAUUAUGCAAGGUAAACAGAUCAAUGCAGCUGUUCGUUUUCUUUCAUGGAAAACACAUGUCUACCUUUGAUUUACAGGAUGUGUUGUUGUCUGCAAAAAAAAGUAUGUCGCCUGAGCAUAUGCAGUUGCUAAUGAUGUGGUAAGGUGCAUCCGGCAAAUCCAAGCAUAUUUGUAUGCCGUUGCUGAUCUGCCUCUUAUGUUGACCAUAUUUGAAUGCCAAUGAUGCUAAAGGUAAUUCUUUUCCCUCUGAAUGACGACAUGUGAGAGUAUGCUGUUACAGUUACUACUUUUUUAUGAUCUUUGGGUUGGCAUUUCAAGUGAGUCGUAGUCAUUUGUUUUGAUGAAGGCUCGGUCUUUUAUGAUAUUGUAUUCCACAUUUAUUUAGCUAAGGCAUUUGGCAUAUGGGGUGACACUAAUUGUUACUUAUGGUCCUUUUUGGCUGUCCUAAUGAACUGAGGCACUUUGGCAUAUGCAGUGAUGGGCUAUUUUUGUGUGCUAACAAUCCAAACUUGUCUCAUGUGCUUCACUGCUAUCUGCAAAAAAUGAUGUUGUCCAGCAGGCUUUAUGCUCUUGUGCAAUUGUGUUAUACUAUGGUCUUCUGUUCCAUAAAACAUCGUUUGUGGUUUCUUGUGAUUUCACCUAUGCAUGUCACCAAGGAAAUAAAAAGGGUGAAGCCUUUCCAGCUUACUACAAUCAUGAUUGUUUUCGCAUUGCUGCCUUUCCAACUUAUCACAGGCAUAUUUUCAUCUGUGCAUAUUUAGGCCUCUCAAUUUUACCGUCAGUCAGACUGCGAUUACCUUUCAUGUUUAUAUUUGUUUAUUUUCCAUCACUUCCCCAUUGCUCAUGAAGAUUUCGCGGUUCCAUCAUUUUUUUCGUGGUUCCUCAUUGCUCAUAUACAGUUGGUUGUUCCCAAUGGUCUGGAUGUUCACGUCUUUAUCAUAAUAAUUUCAUUCAUGCACAAUAUUUUCCGCUGCUUUGGGUGCUCCAUUCAUGGCCAACAAAAGUUUUUUUCCCUGACGCUUUGCUACAAGUGAUGAAAAUGGGCCUUUUUUGUUGUAUAGCCUGUGAUGAAAAUAGACUCCCAUGUAACUUGGGAAUAUAGACUGAUGAUCUUUAGAGGCCCAUGGCAUUUUUACUUCUACAAACCUAAGGUUCUCCCCGCGCAAGGAAGGGGUACACGUCGCCCCAAAUCUUUUGAUUGGUCCUGCUCCGCACCAUGUCACCUCCUCCUCCUUCUGUUGGUCCACCUCAGCCACCUCUCCCUUCGGGGCCUCUUCUUCAUUGUUGUGGUAAAUAUCUCCUCUUCUCGACGCUUCUCGUCGCCUGGUCCGCCUCCUCCGGUCUGACCUUGGCACAGUACGGCUGCUUCCCCUUCCUCUCUCCCUCUCCCUCUCCCUCCUCAAGUGGCGGCGCUGCAGCCGGCCCCGAUAUAUAUAUGCAUUGCUAUCUGUUUAUUGAUCCUGCCAUGCCACUUUUCUAGCCUGGGUCUAUUUCAGUUUCAUGACAGGCCUGCUACAGCACCUGCUCCUGUCUACAUCCAUUGGUUUCUGUAUGUGCCGGCGACAUGAGUUACUAUUGAAUGAUACCAUUUUUCAGUGCAUGCCAUUGUGCCUAGAUACAAGAGAUCAAAUGAUGUCCUUCUGUUUAUUUCUGAGGCUACUCUUAUUUCCUAUCACACCCUUAAAACAACAUGGCUGCUUGGUUUGCUUUCGAGCCUACUCUUCCUUCCCUUCUUCACUACAUUGCUUUUAUUUUUUUUAAGUUCACAAAUAACAAUCGAUCACUGCGAACUUUCUUUUUCUAUAGGUUUUCCAUUUCACAGGUACGAAAAGACAAUGUCAUGUCUACCAAACAGGUUAGCUAUUAAAAAAUGUUUGUGUGAGAUGACAACUACUGUGUCAGCUAAUUUUCUUUUCUAUGAUCAGCUCUACAAGCACUCUAACAAUGGAAAAUUUCUCGAUAGGUCCACAACUUAUUUUCAUCUGUGAUUUUGCUAAUGCACUUUCUAUAUUAGUCAUGGUUGUUCUCUAUGCCAAUAUCCUUGGAGGUUUGCAAAGCAAUUCGUGUAAUAUUCUAUAUCUGCAUAUUGAAAAAAAUAUAUUUGCAGGUUAUGUUGAACAUUCUAUAAAGAGGAGAAAGAACCUCUUCUUCUGUCAACCUGAGCAUCUGCUUCUGCUUCAAGGUUAUAGCUUCUCUAUGUUUCAAGUUAAUUCUAUUAAUCAUUCUAGGUCCAAAAGCAUGCAGGCCUACAAAUUUUUUUUAGGCUUACAAUUUGCCUAUCUAUUUGUUCAGUGGUAUACAAGGAAGAUUAUUUUUUACAUUUCAACCUCACAUCAUGUUAUAUGAAGUUCUUAGUUCUGUCAAUCCAAUUUCCUUUUAGUUUUUUUCCAUGUACUUAAACUUGAAAUAGGUUAUUUCUACCAAUCCAAUUUCCUUUAGUAUUUUUGUGUACUUAAAGUUAAAAUAGGUUCGUUACCUCAGGCAACUUUUACUGGGGUUGCCUUGCAAUAUUUUCCUACAUGCUCUGCUACUGUGUAAGUGGUGGUUACCGAAUAGCUUGAGGGUACAUAAAUUUGCAUAUGAGUUUGAUUUGGUUGAGAAAUAGAUCACUAUACAGAUUCCUUACGUCAUUUUCCACAUAAGAAUAAAAAUGUUGCUUACUACUGAAAAAUGUACAGAGUAAAUUUGAUUGCUCCAUAGGUUACUGUACUACAGUUAGUGAAUAGUUUGUCUGUUUGUUUACUAGCUUCCAUUGCAACUAAUCCUUCACUCAUUCUAGAUUGUUGAGGAUGAAUAACUGCGUGUUUCGCAGAUGCAAGUGCAAUACGUUGGCGUUUCGUUAAUCAGACAGCGGUUCUUUGAACUAAGUGGAGUGGAAAGGCAACUUUAAUUAGCAUCCAUACAUGAGUGUUUUAGGACAUGACCUGCUUAGAAUGUAACCUUUGCUGCACCUCGUCUGUUGUGCUACACAAAAUGCGGUCGAUCGUGCUGUUACCAUAGACUUAUUGCAGGCAAAUUUAGCUGCUGAUACAAAUGCAUGAUUCACUUGAGAUUUAUGUUGCUAACAUUGGUGGUUAUGUCUGUCAGUUUUCUACUCUUUUCUUAUGAUCUUUUUCCCUUUUGGUUUGUCAUAGUUUAGUUUUCAAAGUCUUCACUUGGAAAGAAACAGUAUCCAUUUCUGUUGCGAAGAUCCAUGGACAUAAACAGCAAUAGCAUCUUCGCUUCCAGCAGGGCUACACAGCAUGGACAAACCACUCGGCAAGAACCACCAUCGGCAGCAGAACAUCCAACCUGUAAACAAUGUUUAUCUAAACUUCUUGUGCCAUGCUAUCGAAUCUGUGAAAUAUCCAUGCAAUAUAUAGUCAUGUUACCUUUUAUUAUUUUUAGAAUUAACCCAUAUAUGUAAUAUAUGUGUGUAUGUACAUAUUUAGGAUGCCUUCAGUUCAUAGUUGUACAUCUCAUCAGAAUCACUGCAGCACAACUCCGUUAUAUACACACUGUAAAUAGGACUUGGUUAGAACAUUAAAAUAAGUAGAAAGGCAUUGGGUUGCAACGUUGGUUGUGCCAAGACAUAGAAAUAAUUUAGGAUGCCGCUCCUCAAUCAUGACUAUGCUUGAUUAUUAGAUCCUUUCAUGAUUUAAGGAUAUAGAUACUUGGUUUUAGUUAUUAUAUACAGAUUCAUCUCGUCAUGUACCAAAACACUCUGUUAAAGCAAUGUGUGACGUCCAUGAUUCGAGGAUAUGUACCAUUGUACUUCUUAUCUACCAUCUCUUACUAUUUAUGCAAUCCAGUAAAUUUGGUUAGCUGUUAGCCUAUUCCAAACUAUUAUUAUUGUAGACAUAGAUUCAAGGUCGCAAAAGUAGAGAUGCAAACAUGCCUUAUCUACUUAUGUCCAUUACCGUCUCUACUGUAUUUCAAACUCAUCUCUUAUCUUCUGUAUGCAGGCAUAGGUUUUGGCAUGUUAAGCCAGCUUCCAAUCAUGCAUAUUCUGUUGCUAAGUGUGUUCGUAGGUGGUUCUAACCAUGUGUUGCACGUCACAGAUUUUACCACACUUGAUCGAUGACCAGUUGACCACACUGCAGCUCUGUCUAUAUCAUGAUUUAUAUGUGUUACUUUCCUCGACCUAAAUUGCUCCACAGAGACAAUGACUCAGCUGCAAAUCAACUUUACCCUUAGUUGUAAUAUUUUGUCAGCUUUGAUGUACUGGUCAGUUACUUCGCAUCUGUUUCUAGAACUGCUGCCUCAACAAGAAUAAUAUUGCUUUUCACACUUUGUCCUCAA